CACAAGCGGUGGAGCAUGUGGUUUAAUUCGACGAUACGCGAAGAACCUUACCUGGCCUUGACAUACUAAAAAGCUUUAAGAGAUUAGAGUGUGCUAGCUUGCUAGAAUUUAGAUACAGGUGCUGCACGGCUGUCGUCAGCUCGUGUCGUGAGAUGUUGGGUUAAGUCCCGCAACGAGCGCAACCCUCGUGUUUAGUUGCUAACAGUUCGGCUGAGAACUCUAAACAGACUGCCUACGCAAGUAGGAGGAAGGUGAGGACGACGUCAAGUCAUCAUGGCCCUUACGGCCAGGGCUACACACGUGCUACAAUGGGGUAUACAAAGAGCAGCGAUACGGUGACGUGGAGCAAAUCUAGAAAAUGCCUCUCAGUUCGGAUUGUAGUCUGCAACUCGACUACAUGAAGUUGGAAUCGCUAGUAAUCGUAGAUCAGCAAUGCUACGGUGAAUACGUUCCCGGGUCUU
rnacentral:rRNA from 1 species